rnacentral:rRNA from 1 species
GACGAACGCUGGCGGCGUGCUUAACACAUGCAAGUCGAACGGAAAGGCCCUGCUUUUGUGGGGUGCUCGAGUGGCGAACGGGUGAGUAACACGUGAGUAACCUGACCUUGACUUUGGGAUAACUUAAGGAAACUGGGGCUAAUAUCGGAUAGGAGCUCCUGCUGCAUGGUGGUGGUUGGAAAGUUUCGGCGGUUGGGGAUGGACUCGCGGCUCAUCAGCUUGUUGGUGGGGUAGUGGCGUACCAAGGCUUUGACGGGUAGCCGGCCUGAGAGGGUGACCGGCCACAUUGGGACUGAGAUACGGCCCAGACUCCUACGGUAGGCAGCAGUGGGGAAUAUUGCACAAUGGCCGGAAGCCGGAUGCAGCAACGCCGCGUGCGGGAUGACGGCCUUCGGGUUGUAAACCGCUUUCGCCUGUGACGAGGCGUGAGUGACGGUAAUGGGUAAAGAAGCACCGGCUAACUACGUG